rnacentral:rRNA from 1 species
UGGGGAAUUUUCCGCAAUGGGCGAAAGCCUGACGGAGCAAUACCGCGUGAGGGAUGAAGGCUUACUGAGUUGUAAACCUCUUUUUUCAAGGAAGAAGUUCUGACGUUACUUGAAGAAUAAGCAUCGGCUAACUCCGUGCCAGCAGCCGCGGUAAGACGGAGGAUGCAAGUGUUAUCCGGAAUCACUGGGCGUAAAGCGUCUGCAGGUGGUUUUUUAAGUCUGAUGUUAAAACUUGAGGCUCAACCUCAAUCCAGCAUUGGAAACUAGAAGACUAGAGUAUAGUAGGGAUAGAGGGAAUUUCCAGUGGAGCGGUGAAAUGCGUAGAUAUUGGAAAGAACACCGAUGGCGAA